GACGACGGCUGGCGGCGUGCCUAACACAUGCAAGUCGAGCGGAGUCGAUCGACGGAAGCCUUCGGGCGGAAGAUGGUUGACUUAGCGGCGGAUGGGUGAGUAACGCGUGGGCAACCUGCCUCGAAGACCGGGAUAACAGCCCGAAAGGGCUGCUAAUACCGGAUGUGGUCAAAGAUCCGCAUGGAUUUUGAUUAAAGGGGAAACCCGUUUCGAGAUGGGCCCGCGUCCUAUCAGCUAGUUGGUGAGGUAAAAGCUCACCAAGGCGACGACGGGUAGCCGGCCUGAGAGGGUGACCGGCCACACUGGAACUGAGACACGGUCCAGACUCCUACGGGGGGCAGCAGUGGGGAAUCUUCCACAAUGGGCGAAAGCCUGAUGGAGCGACGCCGCGUGAGCGAAGAAGGCCUUCGGGUUGUAAAGCUCUGUCUGGAGGGACGAAGGAAGUGACGGUACCUCCGGAGGAAGCCACGGCUAACUACGUG
rnacentral:rRNA from 1 species